GAGUAAUGUCUGGGAAACUGCCUGAUGGAGGGGGAUAACUACUGGAAACGGUGGCUAAUACCGCAUAACGUCGCAAGACCAAAGAGGGGGACCUUCGGGCCUCUUGCCAUCAGAUGUGCCCAGAUGGGAUUAGCUUGUUGGUGAGGUAACGGCUCACCAAGGCGACGAUCCCUAGCUGGUCUGAGAGGAUGACCAGCCACACUGGAACUGAGACACGGUCCAGACUCCUACGGGAGGCAGCAGUGGGGAAUAUUGCACAAUGGGCGCAAGCCUGAUGCAGCCAUGCCGCGUGUAUGAAGAAGGCCUUCGGGUUGUAAAGUACUUUCAGCGGGGAGGAAGGUGUUGUGGUUAAUAACCACAGCAAUUGACGUUACCCGCAGAAGAAGCACCGGCUAACUCCGUGCCAGCAGCCGCGGUAAUACGGAGGGUGCAAGCGUUAAUCGGAAUUACUGGGCGUAAAGCGCACGCAGGCGGUCUGUCAAGUCGGAUGUGAAAUCCCCGGGCUCAACCUGGGAACUGCAUUCGAAACUGGCAGGCUUGAGUCUUGUAGAGGGGGGUAGAAUUCCAGGUGUAGCGGUGAAAUGCGUAGAGAUCUGGAGGAAUACCGGUGGCGAAGGCGGCCCCCUGGACAAAGACUGACGCUCAGGUGCGAAAGCGUGGGGAGCAAACAGGAUUAGAUACCCUGGUAGUCCACGCCGUAAACGAUGUCUACUUGGAGGUUGUGCCCUUGAGGCGUGGCUUCCGGAGCUAACGCGUUAAGUAGACCGCCUGGGGAGUACGGCCGCAAGGUUAAAACUCAAAUGAAUUGACGGGGGCCCGCACAAGCGGUGGAGCAUGUGGUUUAAUUCGAUGCAACGCGAAGAACCUUACCUGGUCUUGACAUCCACGGAAGUUUUCAGAGAUGAGAAUGUGCCUUCGGGAACCGUGAGACAGGUGCUGCAUGGCUGUCGUCAGCUCGUGUUGUGAAAUGUUGGGUUAAGUCCCGCAACGAGCGCAACCCUUAUCCUUUGUUGCCAGCGGUUAGGCCGGGAACUCAAAGGAGACUGCCAGUGAUAAACUGGAGGAAGGUGGGGAUGACGUCAAGUCAUCAUGGCCCUUACGACCAGGGCUACACACGUGCUACAAUGGCGCAUACAAAGAGAAGCGACCUCGCGAGAGCAAGCGGACCUCAUAAAGUGCGUCGUAGUCCGGAUUGGAGUCUGCAACUCGACUCCAUGAAGUCGGAAUCGCUAGUAAUCGUGGAUCAGAAUGCCACGGUGAAUACGUUCCCGGGCCUUGUACACACCGCCCGUCACACCAUGGGAGUGGGUUGCAAAAGAAGUAGGUAGCUUAACCUUCGGGAGGGCGCUUACCACUUUGUGAUUCAUGACUGGGGUGAAGUCGUAACAAGGUAACCGUAGGGGAACCUGCGGUUGGA
rnacentral:rRNA from 1 species